AGUGGAUCAGUGAGGGUGGGUCGCGAGAUGAUUUCCAGAAAUCAAGUAAACUUUUUAAACUAUUAGAAAUAGCAUGUUUUGGGGGGCGGAGCGAUGCAGGUUACCGAGUAGCGGUGUUUGAGUUAGGCUCCGGCUUAAUUGUUGAAAAUUAUCCUGAUUUAAGUUGUGUGACAGCCAUUGUUUUCAUAAACGUGAGCUAUAGUGUUUUUUCAUGUCACUGGAAAACUUUUGGGGACCAUCUUUAGUGAAAAUGCUGGCUAAAAGUACGAAAAAACCCGCGGAGAAGAAAGAUGGCACGACUCCCCACGAGGCUGAACCGAGCAGUGAUCAAACUACCCUACUUACACACGUCGCUACAGAUCUAAGUCCUGAAACUAGUAGGGUAGUGGAAUUGCUGACGGCUAAUAUCGCAAGAAUGAUUGAUUCAAAACUAGAGCUGAUACUGGAGAAGAUACAGGAUGUUUCCAAAGAAGUGCAGCGCACUAAUAGAGUUGAAGAAGCGGAGCAGCGAAUCUUAGUUCUUGAAAACACGUCUACUGGGACUGAGAGUCGGGUUGUGCAAAUGGAAAAGAUGAUUGCUUCCUUAACUGAGUGGCUGGAUGAUCAAGAAAACAGAGGGCGACGUCGUAAUUUGAGGAUUAUCGGUCUUCCGGAGAGGACGGAGGGUCAGGUGGCGGUUGACUUCAUGGAAAAAUAGAUUCCCGACAUACUCCACCUGGAGACGAAAAGCGGGCGAGUGAAGCUAGAACGAGCACAUAGGAUUGGUGCCCCAGGGACCGAGAGGUACACCCAGCCUAUGAUCGUUCGAUUUCACAACUUCGCAGAUCAUCAGCGAGCGAUGGAUGCAGCAAGGAAGCUAAAAGACGUACUUUUCAAGGGGAAGAGAAUCCACUUCUUUCAGGAUUUUUCUGCGGAGACACAAAGGAAACGCCGCAGAUUUGACAACGCUCGGAAAAGACUUCAGGAUAUGGGACUUCGCUACUCCAUAACUUACCCUGCCGUUCUGAGGAUAACAACUGAUAACUCUGUUAAGAGCACUGAGCCAACAGCCACUAGAUGUCUUGUCCUGAGGGGACUUCCAGUCAUUCUUGGGGAUGAUGCAUCUAUGUUCUUCAAGAGCAGCUCUGUCACAAUGUUGAUAAAAGUGCAACAUGGAGGGAGGAAGAAGUUUGUUUCUCAGAUUUUCUCAGUGCAGUUCAGCAGAAGUUUCUGAUACCAGAGGAUACAACAUUGAAAGUCACAGAUGACCAGGGCAUAGAAGUGGAUGAGGAUGUCUUUCCAGAAAUUAUAACAACCAAAGAAAUGUGCUUUUUCAUUCACAGUGAUGAUGAACUUCCAUUUUCUGAAACAUCCAAGAACUUCUCAGACCUGACAGAGUUUGGUGCCUCCUCAGAUCAGACAGAAUAUGUUACUCUCACUACCGAUGUGACUGUCCUGCAGCAAGGGCCCUCCUCCCCAUGUCUGACAAGUCUUUUUCAAGCAGUUUAAGCAGCAGUUAUUCUGGAUCUCAAAUGAAUCAACCUUUAAUGGACAGUGUCCAUGCAAGAAAUCAGGGAUGACUGUGAUUAAAGAAGAGACUGAUUGAAGAGACUGGGAGUUUGAAAGAUUCCACAAGGCAGUUAAUGGUGAACAUUAUUGUAGCCCACAUGCAUGAAAAAGAAGGCAGAGCUGUUAGAAAUGCAACAAAGGAGUUCCAUGCUCUUGGGACUGUGUCCCUGAGUCAUGAAAAAACUCAUACUCUAAAAAAGGAUAUGAACAUUUCUAUGACAUUCAGAGCAACAAAGGCUUUCUUGAGUGGCGUACAAAGACUGUGCAAUGUAAAUCCAGAACCUCCUCUAUCACAGGACAUAGUGGAACUAAAAGGAGGUCCCACAUUAUCAAGAAUGAUUGGAACCAUAGAUUAACAGAAAAUGGGAGAUGAGUGUAUGGAAGCCGUGUUUCUCCUCCACUACACAACUGACCAUGACGUAGUGUUCCAAAAGAUGAGAGAAACUUUCCACUACCACAAGCAGAUUCUCCACGACCGGCAGCACUCAGCUGAUGUACUAGAAAUGUUUCCUCAUUUCUUGGAUGUCAAAGGACUGGUAAAUAUUAAAUAAGAAUUAUGUUACAUUAGAUGUCUAAAUGGUUGUCUUUCCUUUUUUAAUUAGAUUUUGCAAGACCACCAGUUUUAAAGAAAAAGUAAUCAGUGAGGCCAGGAACCUUAAAGAGACUGCUCUUCUCAAACAGCAUCUGAAAGCUGCAUUGAAUGAACGAUCUGACACUACCGAUGAUCCAGAAUUGGACAGCGACAUGUCUUCUUGUCCUGCUGCAUCUUCUCACUCCACAACCAGCUGAAAGAAAGCGGCCCAAGAAGAUUCGUGUUGGAAAGGCAACAGAUCAUCUGUCUUGCUAAAGCCUUGAUGAUCAUCUCCUGACUACUGAAGGAAACCCUCAGCCAUAUCUUCUUGCCUCAGGGACUUCUAAAGCACAGGUUUUCACCUUUUACAUGGUCUUGGACAAAAAACCUUUGCCUUGUCAGUCAUGUACAUCCUUGGGUGCUUUUGAUGAGCUGUCAGAAAAUUCAAAGAGCUGAGAGCAAAGCUGUUGAACAAGCAGUAAUUGUCGUAUUCAACCAAAAUGUUAAGUUGUUUCCUCUGCACUUCAUCCUUUGGUUCAGCUUUGCUUUUGUUCAGGCACCUCAAACUAAUUCAUGGAAUGUAUCCUAGAAAAAAUCUGAAAUUUGGUCAAGCAGUUUGUUGCUUGCAGUUCUCUAGUUAUUCUGGAUUUAGGAGACAUCUGAUUAAGAUACAUUCUUCAAUUGGUGACAGAUGUGCUCCUAACAAGACCCCUUCAAGUUAUGAUAAUGAAGAAGACAAUUCUCAUUCCUUAAAUGAUGAAAUACAUCAGGCCCUUCAAUAUGACUAUUUUUCAUGUCCACACUUUAAAUUUUUCUUUUUACUCUUUCUUUUUUGUGUAAGACAGUCGUAAAAAGCAUUUCACUACAUGUCAUACUGUGUAUGAUUUUGUAUGUGACCAAUAAAAUUUGAAUUUGAAUUUGAAAUUUGAAGACUCACAAGAAAGAUAUGUGUGCAUCUAUUAUAGAAAAUCUUUUGGGGAGUGGUGUACCAAAUACUGUAGUUCUUUCCACAAUUGAAAAUUUGGAGGAAUUUGUGGAAGAUCUGCAAUUUAAUAUUAAAAACCAUGUUGUAAACCUGCUCCCAGGUAACAAUCCAUAAAAGUUUGAAAGUUUGGACAACCCUUUCAGCCAAUUAAACACUGACACCAAAUGGAAGAAAUGGGGAGUAGUAGAGCCAGUUGAACUACGCCUUGGUGUUAGGUAUGAUACCAGAUGAAAUUACAAAACUGGAACUUAUGAACAAGUUCCUGUUAAUGAUAAAUAAAUUAUAUAUUCCAAUUUUGAAAAAAAUCCAGUUUAUUUUCAGAAAUGAAAACAUUUGUGAGAUUAUGCAAAUAUGUACUCAUUCUGACAUAUAUGAAGACUUCUGUGAUGGUAGCUACUUUAAAAGUCAUCCUUUAUUUUCGACUAAUAAAUUUGCUCUCCAAAAUCUAGCCAUGGGGUCACAGUCCAGUGACUUCUGUGCCGGUCCCAAGCCCAGAUAAAUAGAGAGGGUUGUGUCAGGAAGGGCAUCCGGCGUAAAACAUUGCCAAAUUUAACCAUGCGAAUCGUCACUAACCUCACUAACCUCUUUUUUGGCAUCAAGAGGAAAAGCCUGCUCAGUACUGCAAUAUUUUAAUACUGCUGAAUACUGUGGUUGACAUCAUGCACAAUAUUUUGGAAGGGGUUGGUCAAUAUGAGAUCAAACUACUUUUUGAACAUCUCAUUGAACAUUUCAUCUGUAAAGAAAGCUUGUUAAACAUGAUGCUUUUAAUUAUGGCUAUUUUGGAAACUAAGAACAAGGCAACAAAUAUUAACCUUGACUGUGGAUGGAAUAGGCUUAAAUGCAUCGCAAACACUGUGUUUAGUCACAAACAUAGACCUUUGAUAUUUGGCGACCUAGUACCAGAGGAUGAUUUGCACUGGCGCUUGUUGCUCUUGUUGUUAAACAUCAUAAACAUUGUGUACUCAUACUGUAUCACUGAGGGGAUGACAGUGUAUUCAAAGCACCUUAUUGUUGAACAUUAUCAACUCUUCAAAGAACUGUACCCAUCAAAAAAGUUGCUUCCAAAAUAUAAUUUUAUGGUCCACUACCCAAGGUGCAUUAGAAGGACUGGACCAUGCAUUCAUAUCUGGAUCUGAGAUUUGAAGCAAAGCACAAUUUUUUUUAAAAGAUUCUGUGAAGAACUUCAAGAAUUUAACAGUAUCACUUGCAAAUAAACACCAGUUUUCAGUAGCAUAUCAUUGGGAAUGCUUGUCUUUAAAAGCAGAUUAGUCUGGUCCAGUCAAAAUGUGUUCAUUUGAGACACUUGAAUUUUCAGAAAAUAUAAGUGCAUCGAUCUAUGUUGAUUCACAAGCCACUGUCAAUCUCACAAAGUGGGUAAGAUGUGGUGUUGAGUAUCAUGUUGGACUCUUUGUUUGCACAGGUACUGAUGAAAACAUGCCACUUUUCAACAAAAUAACCUCAAUCAUUUUACAUAAUGGUUAAAGUGUUUUUUGUUUUGAUUGAACAUGAAUCACUUUCAUGCAUUUCACUUGAGUGAAAACAUACCAAGGAACAUAAUGUUUAUAGAAAGGGAAAGAUUAAGACAUUUCAAAUCUUUUGAUGCCCAAAUGUCAUACUGGUGUGAUUCACAGUUUUUUGUUGUGUCAGAGAGUUGUAUUAUCUGAUUUCUUACUGAAAUGAGUUCACUGUGAAGUUCUUCCUUGUUACUUUAUCUGAUGUUUAAAUGUUUACCUCAACCUAGGUUACACAAUCCUACUGCACUACUGUUUUUAUAAUCCUGCAGGCUUGAUUUUAUAUAGUGCAGUGAUGUGUUGACAAUGUUUUAUACAAUUUUAUACGAAACAUCUUUAGUUUACUCUGUUAGCUGCAUACAUGUAUUAAAUGUAAAUGUUUUGCAAUUUGCUGCAAUUAAUUUCAAAAUAUGUCCAUGCAUGGAAUUUGUAAAUCUAAUGUAUGGAUUUGC